rnacentral:tRNA from 1 species
GGAGGCUUAGCUCAGUGGUAGGAGGCUUGCCUAGCAUGCAGGAGGCUCUGGGUUCAAUCCCCAAAGCCCUCC